AGCGAACGCUGGCGGCCGGCCUAACACAUGCAAGUCGAACGAUCCUUCGGGAUAGUGGCGGACGGGUGAGUAACACGUGGGAACGUGCCCUUUGGUUCGGAACAACUCAGGGAAACUUGAGCUAAUACCGAAUGUGCCCUUCGGGGGAAAGAUUUGUCGCCAUUGGAGCGGCCCGCGGCUGAUUAGCUAGUUGGUGAGGUAAUGGCUCACCAAGGCGACGAUCAGUAGCUGGUCUGAGAGGAUGAUCAGCCACACUGGGAGUGAGACACGGCCCAGACUCCUACGGGAGGCAGCAGUGGGGAAUCUUGCGCAAUGGGCGAAAGCCUGACGCAGCCAUGCCGCGUGAAUGAUGAAGGUCUUAGGAUUGUAAAAUUCUUUCACCGGGGACGAUAAUGACGGUACCCGGAGAAGAAGCUCCGGCUAACUUCGUGCCAGCCGCCGCCGUAAAAC
rnacentral:rRNA from 1 species